rnacentral:rRNA from 14 species
GGUACGCGAGCUGGGUUUAGAACGUCGUGAGACAGUUCGGUCUCUAUCCGCCGCGCGCGUUGAAACUUGAAGAAAGCUGUCCCUAGUACGAGAGGACCGGGAUGGACAGACCUCUGGUGGGCCGGUCGUGGCGCCAGCCGCGCAGCCGGGUAGCUAAGUCUGGACGGGAUAACCGCUGAAAGCAUCUAAGCGGGAAACCCACCUCGAAACCACGCCUCCCUAUCAGGGCCGUGGAAGACCACCACGUCGAUAGGUCGGAAGUGGAAGCCCAGCAAUGGGUGCAGCUGACCGAUACUAAUCGCCCGAC